UCACGGUAUCAAGCUUGGCUUGUUGUUGGGCCCUUUGUCACUGGGUGACAGGUCCGAAAGACAAUGACCGGUGGAACAGACUCCACAUGCAACGAGCUGACAACAGCACGCAUCUGGCAGUUGUGUGACCCGGUAUGACUCCCCUUCUUUCUCCA
rnacentral:misc_RNA from 1 species